rnacentral:rRNA from 1 species
GGGAAUAUUGGACAAUGGGCGAAAGCCUGAUCCAGCAAUGCCGCGUGUGUGAAGAAGGUCUUCGGAUUGUAAAGCACUUUCGACGGGGACGAUGAUGACGGUACCCGUAGAAGAAGCCCCGGCUAACUUCGUGCCAGCAGCCGCGGUAAUACGAAGGGGGCUAGCGUUGCUCGGAAUGACUGGGCGUAAAGGGCGCGUAGGCGGAUGGUACAGUCAGAUGUGAAAUUCCUGGGCUUAACCUAGGGACUGCAUUUGAUGCGUGGUCUAGAGUAUGAAAGAGGGUCGUGGAAUUCCCAGUGUAGAGGUGAAAUUCGUAGAUAUUGGGAAGAACACCGGUGGCGAAGGCGGCGACCUGGUUCAUUUACUGACGCUGAGGCGCGAAAGCGUGGGGAGCAAAC